rnacentral:rRNA from 1 species
GUUUCGUAGGUGACCUGCGGAAGGAUCAUUCACAAACGAGUGUUUUAUGGCACUCUUUAAAAAUCCAUAUCCACCUUGUGUGCAAUGUUUGUUGGGAAAGUCUUUUCUUUCCCUUCAUAAAUAUCAACCUAUAUCUUUAACAACAUUCGUCUGAUAACAUAUUAUGAAUAUACUUAAUUCAAAAUAUAACUUUCAACAACGGAUCUCUUGGCUCUCGCAUCGAUGAAGAACGCAGCGAAAUGCGAUACGUAAUGUGAAUUGCAGAAUUCAGUGAAUCAUCGAAUCUUUGAACGCAUAUUGCGCUCUUUGGUAUUCCGAAGAGCAUGCUUGUUUGAGUAUCAGUAAACACCUCAACCUCUCUUUUUGACAAAAAAAGAGAGGGUGGACUUGAGCUAUCCCAACGACCUUCACCGGUAGGCGGGCGGCUUGAAAUGCAGGUGCAGCUGGACUUUUAUCUGAGCUAAAAGCAUAUCUAUUUAGUCCUCGUCAAACAGGAUUAUUACUUUUGCUGCAGCUAACAUAAAGGAUAAUUGUCCUCUUUGCUGACUGAUGCAGGAUUUUACGACACUUUAUGUGUUGUUCAACUCGAUCUCAAAUCAAGUAAGACUACCCGCUGAACUUAAGCAUAUCAAUAAGCGGAGGAAAAGAAACUAACAAGGAUUCCCCUAGUAACGGCGAGUGAAGCGGGAUGAGCUCAAAUUUGAAAUCUGGCUGGUUUACUAGUCCGAGUUGUAAUUUAAAGAAGCGUUUUCGGUGGCAGCCUGGGUAUAAAUCCUUUGGAAUAGGGUAUCAUAGAGGGUGAGAAUCCCGUCUUUGACCUAGUGCAUGCUACUAUGUGAUACGUUUUCAAAGAGUCGAGUUGUUUGGGAAUGCAGCUCAAAAUGGGUGGUAAAUUUCAUCUAAAGCUAAAUAUUGGCGAGAGACCGAU